CAAUUUAGCCAUAUGAUCCUGCAACUCACAAAUGGCCAGUCACUUAAGCUAAGCAGGCAUGAGCCUGAUCAGUACUUGGAUGGGAGAACUCCUGGGAAAAACUAAAGGUAGCUGUGUUAG
rnacentral:rRNA from 1 species